UGUGAGUGUCUUCUGCACCAGAAGGGCACAC
rnacentral:piRNA from 1 species